UUGCUGUGGUUCUGGUGUAGGCCGACAGCUACAGCUCCCAUUAGACCCCUAACCUGGGAACCUCCAUAUGCCAUGGGUGCGGCCCUAAAAAGACAAGGCAAAACAAAAAAGAAAUAAGGGGAAAAUAGUUGUUCUUCCUCUUCCAGAGUCAGCUAAUAACUGGUCCUUUCUCCACACUGGUCCCUUCUGCCUGGUGCUAUGAUGUCAUGACACAUGGAAAAUUAGUUCUGCUGGGAGCAUUUUGCAGAUGUUAGUAGGUGGUCUGCCUGCUCUGUGUUGGCUUCGAUGAUGGUCUUCAUUCCUGCCUUGCCUGGGAGUUUUUAUCACUUCCUCCCAUUUACCUGAUUUAUUUUGUCUGUGUGUGGCUUUGUCUGGCUUCACAUGGAAACCCUGUGUGUCCGUUAACAUGGACAUCUACGAAGGGUUUUUCAGUCCUGUCCAAGUUGAACUAAAAAAUAAUUAGUUCUUCCCUAUUUAAGCAGAUUUUUGUUCAUUCUGUAUUUUAUUCUCUCACGUGGCAACUCUACCAGCCCCUUUUGUAAUGUGAGUUAUUUUAUCAUUCUAAAUGGUGACCGACUAUCCCUGGACCCAUUUGUUGAUUCACAGACCGGGAGAACCCAUCUACAUGGACCACUGUGCACCCCACCACUUCUACACUUUUCUGUCAUCCCAUUCUAGCCCCUCUUCCUGAAAGUGUCAGCCUCUGGCCAGGAGCUCCAUCCCUUAUAGCCUCCAUCUGCAAGCACACUGCAGGCCUAACUUGCUUGUUCCUCUUUGGGAUUCUUUGGGUUGGGGGGACAUGAAUAUGAAAGCUUCCAUUAGAGACCACGAACGAGCCUCAGUGAUGAGGAGGAAGACACUGCCUUUCAAGCAUUUAUCAAUCACUUAGAUUGUAAGAAUCCUUGAGUUGUAUAGUAUCUAGUAAGAGAGAAGGUAAGAUGGAAAAAUCCCUUUAUCUGGGUUCUGAAUUGGAGAUUAAGUUUGUAUGGAACACAUCUUUUAUGUCAGGUACAGGUCACCCUCUGUGCCUCCCACAUUUUUGUUUUAUCUUUAUAAAUUUUUCCUUUAAUUCCACUUCUGUCUGCCUUUGGGGAUAUAUAUAUAUAUUUUAUUUGUCUUCUGUUAAGCAUCAUUUUCUGACUUACAUAGUGGUGAGGAAGAGAGAGGUUUGAGGGAAAGAGACUGAGAAUUAAAGAUUUUAUGUAAGCAAUCAGCUGUGAUGCACAAGUCCAUUAUAUCAUCUUAUUCUUAAAUUUGCUAGUUCAUAAUUCUUGCAUAGAAAAGAACCAAAGGAGUAAUUUUGUUGGCAGGUGGUUUAGGGAUUUUGGCCUUAACUAAUAUACUGAAUGUAUGAUAACUGUUUGAGAGGACAAGUUUAUAUGCCCUGAGGCUCCCAGUCAUAACUGUUUGGUACUUCUUUGUGGUACUUCUUCUGUUUGUGGCUUCUUUGUGUACAUUUCUCUUAAAAGUGAUAUGGUAUCUGUUUGUAUGAGAAACCCAAUAACCAAUAAGAUGACUGCAUAUUCCUAACUAUAUACAUAGCGAGGAAAAUGCACAGUUUUUAAUUUUCAAAGUGUCAUUCUAAAAGUAGUUAAGACAAAAUUUAUAAGAAAGCAUUUUUAUCACAAAAUAAAAAAGUUACAUGUCAAGCUCAGUGGCACUGCAGUUUUUAUUUGCCAUUCUUGCAUCCCUGGUCUUGCAGUGAUUUACCUCAUGAUGUCAUGAUUUGCUAAGAGAAAACAUUUUAUUUUCAUUCUGAAUCCCACAUAGCCUAGCACUAGUCUUCUUUUUUUCUUUUUCCAGGCAGAAAAUAAAUAAAUACUUUCGAGGAAAAAGUUCCUGUCAAAUAAGAAGCAUCACAAGAUCGAGUUACUUUCUGUGUACUAACUGGUGACAUGGACAACUGCUCAGGAUAAAGUGCCUCCCAAGGAAAAUGCUGGCUUCUCAGAGCUUUUCAGACUCUGGCAAUGGCAAUGGCAACUGGCUCCAUGGAAACCUACUGCAGUGGAUCUGAUCUGCCUAUCAUCCUACCCCUGCAAUGGCAAGCAUAGAAAACUAGUGCAUGAACUGCAGGGACUAUCCAGGUCUUUCCCAGGCAUGACAUGCGAGAAGGGAGAGCAGGGCUGGAGGCCAAGGGCUGCCACAUCACACAGCUGGAACAAUAGACUUGGCCACGGUCUGGGCUUCCCUGUCAUGCAGCUAAAAGGCCCAAGGAGGGGGGCAAGUUCUUUUCUCAGAACUUGAUAAUAGAACUGUCAAUGUCCACACUCUGUCCGUGAGUAGGCAGACUGCAAGCCUGUUACUGCCUGCUUCCAAGUUAUCCCACUAAACACUGCCUCAGGCUUGCUGUGUGAUGGUUGGGUCAUUCACCUCAUUUGGUGACAGUAUUUUUAAAAUGAAAUAUGACCCAGUUGCUUGCAAAAGUCCUGAAGAGAGGUGGUACAUGUGAAGUAUAUGUGUUUGCAGAUGUGUGAAUGGGUGUGAAACAGAGAGUGAAUAUAACUUUUCCUUCUUUUGAAACGGACUGUAACAAAAUGCAUUUAAAACAUUUGUACCAGCCUAGUCCCUAUUGCAGAGUGUGGGCAAACUCAGCAUAAUUCAAGAAGGGCAUAUUUACCAAAACUAAUUAUUUUUUUAAUUUUUAAAUUAAAGUAUAGUUGAUUUAAUGUUGUGCCAAUUUCUGCUGUACAGCAAAGUGACCCAGUCAUACACAUAUAUACAUUCUUAUAUUAUCUUCCAUCACUACCACAACCAAUUAUGAAGUGUGUGUGAGAUGUAGGGGAACACUAAGGGAUGGUAUAGCAAGUCCUAGUUAGCAUCAGCAGCUAUAAGCUCUCCCUGGUCCAAAGGGAUGAAGGCAGGGAGAGGUUACUAAAAACUGGAAGGAGGGAGUCCUGUAGAACACAUUAGCUCAAGGAGAGUUGUGGGUUCCGCCGGGGGAAGGAAGCCAGGGAAUGAACACCAUGAUUUCAUCCCCGCCACACUUCCACCCUGGACCCUCUUUGCUGAAUCCAAGUGGAGGUCUGAAAAUACAAGAGUUGGUUGGAAUUGAUCCUUAGGUACAGGUCGGCUUCCUGAGGCAGAGAUCCUGGUGGAGAAAGGAAGAGACUAGGGCGCAAGCACAGCAUUAUCCAAAACUUUUUUCCACCAAUGAUUGCAUUUCUAAAAAACUUCUGCUGAAGUUUGAUAUGUGAGAACAAGAAGCACAUAGAAUUCUUUUACAAGAAGUAAAAGAAUUAUAUAUUCAUAAUCCUGACUUUUCCUGAUCGACUACUGUAUCUCUUCACCACCUUGUCUCUGACCACCCAAACCAAAGAAAGUCAUUAGCAAUAGGAUGGAUAAAAUGAUAGUGCUGUCGUUCUGUGGAAUACUACACAGAAAUAAAAAAAAAAACAACAUGCAACAAUAUGAAGAGGGGUCCCUGAA